GACGAACGCUGGCGGCGUGCUUAACACAUGCAAGUCGAACGGAAAGGCCCUGCUUUUGUGGUGUUCUCGAGUGGCGAACGGGUGAGUAACACGUGAGUAACCUUCCCUUGACUUUGGGAUAACUUCCGGAAACUGGGGCUAAUCCCCGUUCGGAGCUCCUGCUGCAUGGUGGGGGUUGGAAAGUUUCGGCGGUUGGGGAUGGACUCGCGGCUUAUCAGCUUGUUGGUGGGGUAGUGGCUUACCAAGGCUUUGACGGAUAGCCGGCCUGAGAGGGUGACCGGCGACAUGGGGACUGAGAGACGGCGCAGAGGGGUACGGGAGGCAGCAGGGGGGAAUAUUGCACAAUGGGCGGAAGCGUGAGGCAGCAACGCCGCGUGCGGGAUGAAGGCUUUCGGGGUGUAAACCGCUUUCGCCUGUGACGAAGCGGGAGUGACGGUAAUGGGUAAAGAAGCACCGGCUAACUACGUG
rnacentral:rRNA from 1 species